UGUAGGAAUUACAUUUCACAGCAGUUACCACCGACACCUUUGGCUUCGAAGCGUGACCUACGAGGCUCUCCGUUCUCACCACGGGUUGCGUUUAAAACUAACAAACUACAAGACAAGACAGACUGUUGAUUUAUUGCCUUAUUUGAUGUCGUCUUGUCUGGCAAGCAACUCAUCCAUGUCCGGUGUGCAGCAGAGAUACCGCCAGCAACCACUCGCGCCUCUCCUGGGCGAGAAAACGACCGGGUCUCCAACCCAUUCAUGCUUAUCAGCAAAGCCUAGACCAAUCUUUAGUUUCUCGUCGAUGGCAGAUACAGAGACUUCAAGCCGUGACACAGAAGGGUGAAAAAAAUGGGGAGAGAUAUUACUCACCAUUUUCAGGCGCUACCUGAGGAUGCUACCGGGGGAUACGAGGACAUGCUCUUUUUUCUUGUCGCCUUAUAUGUGGAUUGCAAACAUCCCCAAUUGUGUAGUCUUCUCCCGUGCAGUUUCUCUAUAGUCCACGUGAGUACAGUAUGCAACGGAGCUUGGAUGGUAUCGCCGAACAUCGCUGGGAUCUUGUUUCGUCAAGAAAACUCGGUGUGAAAAAGUCCGACUUUCGAAUUUCUCUUUGACUGUAGAAAUUAUCGGACAUGAUGGAUCAAUAUGCCAUAAAAGGAAGGAGCAACGCAUCCAUCACAUGGUUGUUUGGAAUUUGCUUGCUACACCUCGGCGGCGGUGAGCUAUCGGUAGCUGCUAGUUUCGGGUG
rnacentral:lncRNA from 1 species